UACGGAGGGUGCGAGCGUUGUUCGGAAUCACUGGGCGUAAAGGGCGUGUAGGCGGUCCGCUAAGUCUGAUGUGAAAGCCCUGGGCUCAACCUGGGAAUGGCAUUGGAAACUGGCGACCUAGAGUGCGGUAGAGGGUAGUGGAAUUCCCGGUGUAGCAGUGAAAUGCGUAGAGAUCGGGAGGAACAUCCGUGGCGAAGGCGACUACCUGGACCAGCACUGACACUGAGGCACGAAAGCGUGGGGAGCAAACAGG
rnacentral:rRNA from 1 species